rnacentral:rRNA from 1 species
AUUGAACGCUGGCGGCAUGCCUUACACAUGCAAGUCGAACGGGAACAGGUUAAGCUGACGAGUGGCGAACGGGUGAGUAAUGUAUCGGAACGUGCCCAGUCGUGGGGGAUAACUGCUCGAAAGAGCAGCUAAUACCGCAUACGACCUGAGGGUGAAAGCGGCGGAUCGCAAGACCUCGCGCGAUUGGAGCGGCCGAUAUCAUAUUAGGUAGUUGGUGAGGUAAAGGCUCACCAAGCCGACGAUCUGUAGCUGGUCUGAGAGGACGACCAGCCACACUGGGAGUGAGACACGGCACAGACUCCUGCGGGAGGACGCGGCGGGGAAUUUUGGACAAUGGGGCAGAGCCUAAUCCAGCCAUGCCGCGUGCGGGAAGAAGGCCUUCGGGUUGUAAACCGAUUUUGUCAGGGAAGAAAAGGUUCUGGCUAAUACCUGGGACUAAUGACGGUACCGGAAGAAUAAGCACCGGCUAACUCCGUG